CUAGCUGUAAACGUUGGGUACUAGGUAUUGGGGGUGAGAACACUUUCAGUGCCGAAGCGAACGCGUUAAGUACCCCGCCUGGGGACUACGGCCGCAAGGUUAAAACUCAAAGGAAUUGACGGGGGCCCGCACAAGCAGCGGAGCGUGUGGUUUAAUUCGAUGCGACACGAAGAACCUCACCUGGGUUUGACAUACAAGUAGUAGGGGAGCGAAAGCCGACCGAGCCGCAAGGCAGCUUGAACAGGUGC
rnacentral:rRNA from 1 species